UCAUAAAACCUACCGAAAAUUAGUUUUUAAAUGUUAUUGAGCCCCCUCCUUUGCACUAAGUAAGAAUGUGUUUAACUUCUUUCAUGAACUUUUGGUGCAAAGCUUCGGGAAUUACACUCGAUUUCCCUGUGAUAAGAAACCUCCCCCACCAGGCUGAGACUGAGGCAUAGUUUGACUACACAGGUAAGAGUAUCAGGGAGAAGAAAAUGUGAAACAUGCAGAGGAGAAGGGUCAGUGUAAAGAUAAGGAAAGCCAAAGGAGACAUAGUCAGUAACUGGAGGCUGCAGACAAUAAUGAAGUAGUAAAGCAGGUUUGUGCUGCCUACUGGGCAUAAAGCUCUUAUUAUACUAUUGUUAGCCCACAGUUUACAUUGCUUUGCAGCAUGUAUAUCUUACUAGCCAAUACCUCACUAACACUGAUUUCAAGUGAGUCAUGUGAUCUUAGGCAAGCUUCCCCUUUAUACCUUGUUCAUAUUAGGGUGGAAAGGUAUUCUGUUCUUACCUCAAGGAUACAUUUUUUGGAUUAUAAUUUCUUGGAUCACUUCUUCAAUAAAGGUCAAGGAAUCAAAGUUUAUCUAAAGGCUGUUUUCUUGUGAGUAAGCUACUGCUAAAUGUAAGUUCAAUCCAAUUUCUACCACGACUUACUGGAGGCAAAAUAAGGUUGAUGAAAGUAUAUUGAAGGCAGAAGACAAAGUACAUAAUAAAUAGGUAAAAGAACAUUAAAGUAAGAAAUUUAAAAAGAAAAGGGCUCAAAUAUAGAAAAAAAACUAGUGAUGAGGAGAAAAUGAGUGAGGGGGAUGGAACAAAGAUAUAGAAUGAGAGUGAGUUGCUAAGCCAUAUAUGUACUUCUGUGCAGUACUUGGGUAGGGGUCUGUGUCUUGAUUAUUUUGUGUACAACACGCUUUCCCCCUCCCCCAU